UUGAAUAAACUUGAACAGGCUGUUGCUGGCUUAUAAAAAGGCAUGUGCACGCUUGUCAUCUUUAUUUCUCCCAACUGUGCACAUAUUGUAGACUCUUGGAUUUGAGGAUUGCUGGUAGAUUCAUCAGCUUUGCCUUGUGAAUUUUGUUUUUCAAGGUCUAUGUUGUUUUUUAAAAAAUCCACUAGAUGUAUGUAUUAGAAUGUUGAAAUGGAUUUAUAAAA
rnacentral:misc_RNA from 1 species